GUGAGGCUAAGUGCAUUUCCUCUUUCCCUCUCACCUCCAUGUGUAUGCCUCCCAAAGCUUCAUACUUGGUAGAAGAGGUCAACCAUCCUCUAUAGAAGAGGAGUAUUUCUUCAGUCAAGGGUAUAUGAGUAGCUGUGCUCCCCUGCUUAGAACCUCCAACAAGCUCUCAAGAAGUAUGUUUGAAAGAAAGGGGGACCUAAACAUUAGACAAGAAGUCAUAG
rfam:Cavia porcellus supercont2_113 genomic scaffold, whole genome shotgun sequence.